CGGCCAAUGGUUACAAGACCUUAUAGCCUAUCUUAAAUUAAUUUUCACGCUUGAAGUACGUAAAAAUUCACAAGUAGUUAUUAAACAAAACAGCAUCAAAUUGAAGUAUUAACAUUAACGUUUGUUUUUAAACAUUUCCUAUUGUGUUAACAAUAUAUCUAUAAAUUGGUUUAAAAUUCAACGGGUUUGAUAAAAUUUCUUCUAAGUCCAUCCUUACGCCUGUUUGUAAAGGCUCGUCACCCUUAGAAACAUCGUCCAGCUCAGAUACUAAAAUUAAUCUAUUUAUACUAUAUUUAUGACAUUUCAUAACAAUAUGUUUCAGAUCAGCGACCUCAUUGACACAAAAUUGACAGUUUUUGUCCGUUGCUAAACGUAGUUUAAACAAAUGAGCAGGAAUUCUACAAUGACCGAAUCUCAAUCUAUUAAUGGUGGUAAUGAAUUGUCUGGAAUUAGCUUCUUUAAAUUUGUUAUACCAAGGUACAUGUGGCGGGGUAUUCUGUAUCUUUGUAUACCAUUUCCCUUUUUCUUGGCUUAUAGACCUCCAGUGUUCAUACCACAGCGUUUUAACAUUUUCCGAUAUUUUCUGCUGGAAGUCAGUAAACGGUACUUUUGUUACAUUAGUGUGGUCUUCGUCACAUGCACCUCGCACUGCACAGUCUACAGCUUCAUUGCCAAAAAUACCACAAUGAGCAGACUUUGCCAGGGACACCAAUAUCACUAAGAAUCUGUAUAAGUAAAGAGGGAUUGACAUUAUCAAAUGCACCACUUAUAUCAAGGAAAGCGCAAGCUGUGUAUGAAUGGCUGUGAAAAGAAUUUUUAAUAUCUGUAACCAGAGACAUAUAGUUUUCUGCUGCACUUUUACCUCUACGGAAACCAAAUUGCUGUUCAGAUGGGUUGUGAUGAACUGUACCUACGGUGGUUGGAGAUCCGGAAUUUAGAAUGCAAAGACUACAUUCAUCUAACAGAUUGAAUACAUCAUUACCUCUGGAAUUUGAUGAAGCACAACCAAAUGCAACAUGAUGUGCAUUCAAGUCGCCAGCCAGGAAUACUGGUUUUGGCAGUUUAUUGAUAAUAGUUUUUAAAGUUUUGUAUUGAAACCGUCCACCUCUAGGAGGACUAUAUGCACACAACAAGGAUAAAUUUGAAUUCUUGGUUUUUAGAACAACUGCAGCUGUUUGUAAAUAUUCAUGGUAAGGUGUACAAAUCACCUGAUAUUUAAAUGUGUCUUUUAAUAAAAUUGCUACACCGCCAUGACCGUUGGGUCCAUUUUGAAGAACAAUAUUGUAUUCAGGUAUAUUGAAGGGACUGUUUUCUCUCAGCCAUGUUUCAUUUAACAUACAGAUAUCAAUAUCAUACUCAGAAAGAAAGUUAAUCAAUAAAGGUUUUUUGUUACGCACACUUUGAAUGUUAAAUUGAGCAAUUGUUAGAAAAGAUUUUAAGUUAGUCUGUAAAUUGUUAUAACUAAAAUUUGCCAUUGUCUAAACUAGGUUUUUUAAAAAUAUUUCCUUUAUUUUAUUAAUUGUUAUAUUAUCAUCAUUAGAUGAGUUCGCUAAAGUAACUAGUGAUCUUACAAUAGCGUUUAAUAUAAUGUCGUUGUUGGCAAUCUGUUCUUUGUUCAUUAUAAUAUUAUCUUUCUUGUUAAAUGAAUUGCUAUUGUUAUUUAAAAUAGGUUUUUCUUUAGUUUUUAAAGGUGGAAAGUUUUUAUCGUUACUUGUUAUUGAUGCAAAUGUACUGUUUUUGGGAAUUUCUGACCGUUUUAAUUCAAUUUUUUUCUUUUUUAUAGGGCAGUCCCGGGAUACAGCUAAAUGUCCCCCACCACAGUUAAUACAUACUAAAAUGUCAGACACACACUCUUUGUAAUGAUGAUCUCCUGCACAAUAUGAACACAUUUGCUUACUGCGACAUACUUUAGCGGAAUGAUUAAAUUUGAAACAUUUGAAGCACUGUAUUAGAGGUGAAAUAUAUGUCUGUACUUCGCAGCGAAACAAGUUGAGAUACACAUAACGGGGUAAUGUAGUUGUUGAAAAAGUUAUAGCCACAGAGCUCAUAGGCAUUAACUUCUUGUCUGCAUUUCUUUUCAUAAACCUCUUAAUAGAUAUGAUUUCAGCAUCGCUACUAAUAUUUUUAUAGAUGUCUUCGUUGGAUAAGUCUGUAGGCACAAAUUUAAUCACACCCACCUUCUCUACUAAGUGAGCAGGUAUAAAGGCGCGGAAUUUGUGCUUGCUGAGAAAGUUGUCAAGUUUGAUAAAGCUAUUAGCAUCUGCAGCUUUUUGGAAAUUCACACCAAUUUUAUAUGCAUUAAUUCGUGAAACACAUGUAAUGCCUUUGACAUUCUCAUUUAAUAAACUUGUUAAUUUUA